GAUGAACGCUGGCGGCGUGCCUAAUACACGCAAGUCGAGCGAACAGACGAGGAGCUUGCUCCUCUGACGUUAGCGGCGGACGGGUGAGUAACACGUGGAUAACCUACCUAUAAGACUGGGAUAACUUCGGGAAACCGGAGCUAAUACCGGAUAAUAUAUUGAACCGCAUGGUUCAAUAGUGAAAGACGGUUUUGCUGUCACUUAUAGAUGGAUCCGCGCCGCAUUAGCUAGUUGGUAAGGUAACGGCUUACCAAGGCAACGAUGCGUAGCCGACCUGAGAGGGUGAUCGGCCACACUGGAACUGAGACACGGUCCAGACUCCUACGGGAGGCAGCAGUAGGGAAUCUUGCGCAAUGGGCGAAAGCCUGACGGAGCAACGCCGCGUGAGUGAUGAAGGUCUUCGGAUCGUAAAACUCUGUUAUUAGGGAAGAACAAAUGUGUAAGUAACUAUGCACGUCUUGACGGUACCUAAUCAGAAAGCCACGGCUAACUACGUG
rnacentral:rRNA from 1 species